rnacentral:rRNA from 1 species
CACGUAGGGGGCGAGCGUUGUCCGGAUUUAUUGGGCGUAAAGAGCUCGUAGGCGGUGUGUCGCGUCGGCCGUGAAAACCUGCAGCUUAACUGUGGGCUUGCGGUCGAUACGGGCAUCACUGGAGUUCGGCAGGGGAGACUGGAAUUCCUGGUGUAGCGGUGAAAUGCGCAGAUAUCAGGAGGAACACCGGUGGCGAAGGCGGGUCUCUGGGCCGAUACUGACGCUGAGGAGCGAAAGCGUGGGGAGCGAACAGG